GUAUUUCCGAUGAGUCCCAAACUAGGACGAAACAGCUGUCUAGUAU
rnacentral:hammerhead_ribozyme from 1 species